UGCUAGUUCUAUUUGGGCUAGUCCUGGGGAAGAUCACCAAGAGUCUCAAAAAGUGCUAAGGUUUUUUUUUACAGGAAAGGUCACUGUCUUUUAAGUUUUCCUUUCAAGUAUCCCUUUGGAACUUUGCAUGAUUGUUUUAAAUCCUGAUUUAUAUAACCAAAACCUUUGCAUGUUUGUUUAAAUCCUAGUUUAUAUAGCUAAAUCCAAUGGCCAACACUU
rnacentral:lncRNA from 1 species